AAACAUGGUGUAAAGUGGAACUGCUAAUUCUAUUUUGGGUAAUUCGAUUUUAUCCUUU
rnacentral:tRNA from 1 species